AUCCUCAAGACCUGCCUUCUUAGGUACAGAAGCUGCAGUGAAAAUGAGAGUUAUCAGUUAAAGGAGACUUCAUUUCAAGAGAGACUCUUCCCAACACAGUCACUGUCCUGUCUCCUGGCCCUGUUUCAGAAGGAUGGAGGGAAUUCCCUCAGCUCACCGCCCCUUGCAUUUACUCUUUUAUCCUAGCAAUGUCCUGGCCUGAGUUCCCAGAGUUACAGAUUGUCAAAGAAGGAAGGGACCUCAAAGAUCACCUAGUCCGGUGGUUCUCAACCAGGGACCAUCUUGCUCCUACCGUUUUCUUCUUCCAGUGGACAUUUGGCAAUGUCUGGAGACAUUUUUUUGGUUGCCACAACAUUGGGGAGGGGUGAAUGCUACUGGCAUGUAGUGGUUAGAAGCCAUGGAUGCUGCUAAAUAUCCUCCACUGCACAGAACCUGCCCCACAACAAAGACUUAUCCAGUCUAAAAUGUCAGUAGUGCUGAAGUUGAGACACCGUGCUCUAGCCCAGUCUCUGACUUCUCAAAUAACUAGUCAGACUUCGAGAAGUCUAUCUAGGUGCCCAAGGUUACAAAAAUCUAUUAUUCACAUCUUGCUUCUUAUAAUUAUGAUUAACAGCUUCCUGUGUGACUCUUCCCAGGGGUUAUCUCCUGUCAAUUUGGAUCUAUCCAAAGUGAUUAAGUUCUGUUCUUAAACAUCUACGAGAUCAGGAAGAAGCAGGCAGAUCUCAAGUUUGGCCUCUAUUGCUUUGCAUGAAGGAAAGCCCCAUUUCUUUGCAUAAAGCUGUUUCCACACUCUGGAUUAAAGACUGAGUGAGUACCCAGGACUGUGCUCGGCACAUAGCAGGCCCUUAAGAAAAAUUACCAUUUACAGUGGUAUUAAAGAAACCUGGGUUCAAAUGCUAAUUUCUCAAUGAAUCUUGUAAUCUUGGUACAAAGGCAUCAUAAGACUUGCUUUUCAGGGCUGAUGUGAGGAUAAAGUAGACAAUGGAGACAAAGCAUAUAGCAGUGUCUGGCACACAGCACAAGCUCAGAAAAGUUUGUUGGUUAAGAUUGGUUAAGACCAAACCACUCAUUGCCAUUGUUUACACUGGUGUCUUCACUCUGAGGUGUCUCACCGCAAGGCCAGCCCAGCAACUCAGAUCUAGUGACAGCAUUCUGAUGUCUGAACUAAAAUGCUUCAGAAUUCACAAUAGUGGUAUUUCCUUUUGCCCAUCACUUUGCAGGCUUAUUUCCUGAAAUUCAGUUUUAUCUUUGAAUAUGUAAAAUAUUUACAGAGUUCAAAAGUUAAAACUACAGGUCAUUCCUUGGUAUCCAUGGGGCGACUGGUUCCAGGACCUCCCCCCAAUACCAAAAUCCAUGUGUGCUCAAGUCCCUGAUAUAAAAUGGCAUACAUAGUAUUUGCAUAUAACCUAUGCACAUCUUUUUGUUUUCUAGGUUGCUUAUAUAAUAUGUAAUAUUAUCUCUAGGUUGCUUAUCUCUAGGUUGCUUAUCUCUAGGUUGCUUGUAAUAUGUAAUACACUGUAAAUGCCAUGCAAAUAGCUGUUAUACUGUAUUGUUUAAGAAAUAAUGGCAAGAAUAAAAUCUGUACAUGUUUAGUACAGAUGCAAUUUUUUAUUCUGGAGAAUUUUGAUCUGUGAUUGGUUCAAUCCAUGGAUGUGGAACCUUUGACUGUCGAGGGCCCACUGUAUAUAAAAAGGCCCCUUCUUGCUGGCCCAGCCACAUGUCUGCUACUCUACCAGUCCCCCUGCCAGGCCUUGCACUCUUCUGCUCUGGUCCUCCCUGUGGUUGGUUGCAAUCUAACCCAUUCUUCAAGACAAACCUAACAACACCUCUUUCAAGGCUUCCCAGACCAACCUCUCCUUGGUCACCCACCAUGUGUUCAUCCCUGUUGCUUCUGGUUUGUUCCACACUCCCACUGUCUCUUAUAGAUAACUACUUUUAUUAGCUUAUUGGUUUAUUCUGCCAGAGUUUAUUUUUGCAUAUGUAAACAGAUACUUGCAUAUAUUUUUGUUUCCCAUCCUUAGUACACAAAAUACACUAUGUGAUACAGAUUGUUGUUUGCUUUACAUUUUCUCACUUAACAUAUCUUGAACCAAGCCCAUGCCAUGUUAGUAGAGAGGGAGAUCAGUCAUUUUUUUUUCUUUUUUUCUUUAUUUUUUUUUUCUUUCUUUCUUUUUUUUUUUCGAGAUGGAGUCUUGCUCUGUCGCCCAGGCUGGAGUGCAGUGGUGCGAUCUCAGCUUGCUGCAAUCUCUGCCUCCUGGGUUCAAGUGAUUCUCCUGCCUCAACUUCCCUAGUAGCUGGGACUACAGGUGCCUGCCACUGCACCUGUCUAAUUUUUGUAUUUUUUAGUAGAGACGGGGUUUCAUCAUGUUUGCCAGGCUGGUCUCAAACCCCUGACCUCAGGUGAUCUGCCUACCCCGGCCUCCCAAAGUGCUGGGAUUACAGAUGUGAGCCAUCGCGCCCAGCAUGAUCAUUCUUUAUGAUGUGGCCUCAUUUGGGUUUCCUUCAAAGCAGAUCCUGAAAUAGGGUCCUAGUAGCAGGUGGCUUAUUUAGAAAGUGGUCCCAGGAAGAAGAAAUGAGAAAGUGAGAGGGACGGAGGAAAAGUCAAUAAAGAGUAUUUUGUUGAGUUCAUUCCCAUUUUCAGCAACUGGGACUCAAUCCCUGGUAACCCUAAGAAGCACUAUGUAGAAUGUGUCUUACAACAAUCCCUCCAAACAAUGAGAAGGUGUGUCAUUUAUCCACUGAUUCCUGGCUUGUAUUACUUGAGAGCUACCCCAGUUAAUUCUCCAUGCUUCUGGGCUGUCCCACGCAAAGGCUGAGUGAGCCAAUCCCUUCAUAAAAUGCUCUGAGGCAGAAAACCAGAAACGCAAGGCAGACAUCUGAGAUAGGUGCCUUUCAUGUGCACAGAAACUGUCCCCGACAGAUUCGCUGGAGUUUGGGGGAAUGUGGUGCAAGGCUCACAAAGCUAUGGACUCUAUAGAACUUCACUGUGUGGAUGCACCCUAGUUAUUCAACCAGACCCCUAAAGCGGGGCAUUUGGGUUGUUUCCAGUCCUUUGCUAUUACAAAUAAUGCCAUGACGUGCAAACAUCAUUUUGUAUUUAUGCAACCAUUUAUUUAGGAUAAAUUCUUAGGAGUGAAACUUUUGGGUGAAAGGGUAAAUGCAUCCAUAAUUUUUAAAUAUAUAUUUUUUAACAUUCUUCUAAAUCUAGUAGUUGGAGGAACUUGCCAGUGUCCCUUUUUGUAGAGCUUCUUUCCAUUGACCAUGACCAUUAAUAUGGACUCCUGUUUGAGGUGUGAAGGAAGGGCCCGUGCUAACCAUGAGUUUGUACCUAUCACUCACUCCCUUGCUGAAAACCCUCAAUGGCUCCCUAUUGCCUCCAUUAUGGCAUGCAAAGCCCAUCUCACUGUGGCCCAGCCACAUGUCCUCUCUUCUCACACUCCCCUAACAGGCCUUGUUCUCCCCUGCUUUGGUCCUCCCAGUGAUUCCAAUUGAAUCCAUUCCUCAAGACAUAAACCUAACAACAUCUCUUUGUAGCUUUCCCAUACCAUGUCACUUAGCACUCAGUGUUAUUAUUUAUGUGCUGCACAGUCCUCAGGUUACCAUGAUCUCUUUUCAGGUACAUGGCUUCUAUCCUUGGGUAAGUUCCUCAGAACAGAGGCAGUAUCUAUUCCUAAAAAUUACCUGAAAAUCUUCAACAAAUUUUUGUUGGCUGACAGAUUUGGUGGCUACUUGUAAACUACAAGAAAUCUCUAUAGCUCAAAAGGGAAGGGCAUUGUCACGUUCCCAGCAUGUGACACAUUAUACACAAAGCGGGUGACCAUAGAGGCAGAGAUUGAUAAUCGUUGCCCAAUAUCUAUCCUCUUCUUUAUUUGGAGCUAGAACCUCCCCCACCCCCCAGGUUUUAGCUGGGCACAUGGUUUUCCAUCUAGUGACAUUCCUCAGCCUCCUGAGGGUAGUGUGGCUAUGUGAAAUAUGUUUGGCAGAUGGGAGGCAGUGGAAACGAUGUGUGCAGCUUCUAGGUGACAUCCUUAAGUGGAAGCUGCUUGGCUUCUUCCUCUAGCCCUUUCCCAUGGGUGGGAAUGUGACUGUGGGGGUGAGCCUACUCUGACCAUGCAGACAAGGACAACACCCCUGGGUAUGGCUGAAGGAGCCUGGAACCUCAGAUCUCCUGCAUCACAGUCACCUUAUUCUGGACUUGUGUGUAAGAUAGAAAUAAACUUCUAUCUUGUUUGAGCCGCUGUAUUUUUUAUUUUCUAUAUUAUAGCAGCUUAGCCUGUACCUUAACUAAUAGAAUCAACUAAUGAGUUUAUAAGGUAGGCUUGCUCCUGAUUAAAAAAAAUAGGGCAAAACAAAUUUUUGUAGGUGUUAUAGAAUCAUAUUUCAGAUGCACUAAAAUAGAACUAAGAGAAUUCUAUUGUAAGUUCUUUAGUAAAAGAAUGGGGCAACUCCUAAUAUCUCUUAGGGAAAUUCUGGAUUUUCAUUUAUCAAGUUUCUGUAAAGCUAUAUGUUUAUUCUGAUCUUCCUUAACAAGCGUUUCUAGAAGGGGAUGCAGAGAGUGUCGGUUGUAAUUUUUAAACCAGCCCAUAAGCUCAUCCUUCACUUUCAGAAGGAUUCGGUUUGUUGUCCUUUCUCCCCACCAGCUGAGGAUGAGGUUAGCAGGACAUGCUCUUGAAUCAGGUAAAAGUCAGAUAAUCAACCAUGAUGAUUACAUUGAUUAAUCCUUCAAUUUUUUCAUUCAGAGUAAUCAGUAUUUACAAUCAUUUAACUUUAGUUAAAAUGCACUACUUACUCGGUAUCUCUACGCUUUGGGUCACACUGGAAUUUCACUUAGAUUGGCCAAAAGUGGGAGAGUUGGUUUGACCAGAGCAACUAAAAGUUUAAUUGGGUAACCUGGAAAAUUGCCUUUAAUUCUUUUUCUUUUGCCCCCUGCUACUGCACAACAGAAAGAAAAAUAUUUAAUUAAUGAAGGUGAAGUUCUCCACAUGGAAUAAUCAUGGAAGAAGAUAAGACACUGAAGUUAACCUCACCCCGUCAGAGAGCAGGGUGAGGGGACCUGUUGCCCCUGAGCCUCUCAGCAGCCCCCUUCCACCCUCAGUCUCAGAUCUGGAUGGCUGCCUUCCACAAGGCCCCUCUUUCUGCCCUGACUGCCCAUUGGCCACAGAUUAAGAAACCGAGGCACAGAGUGGUUACAUUAACCUGCUGAAGAUCACGCAGUAAAAUGGCAGAGCGUGGAUUUGUACCCAAUCGGGCUCUAGAGCCCACAGGCUUAACCACCGCACUAUAUUGCCUUGCAAACUCAAGCAAAUUUAAGUCUGGUUUUUCUCUCUUGCAACGGAAAGAUACCCUCUCUCCUCUACUUACCUGCAGAAGUCUCAGCUCCCAGCGGUUUCUCUUCUUCUGGCCAGCCUCCGCUCUCUGAUCCAUGAAAAGAAAACUCUUCCAGGCUGGAAAGAGACUGCAGCUCCUUCGGGGGUGUUCUGCACGGCGUGCUGUUGGUGCUGAUGACUGCGGACACGCGGAGCGGCACAGAUACCGCAAAGGGCUCGGAGAUGUUCAGCGCCUUGCGCUGGUUACGCGGCGAGGGCUCCAUCUGGAAGAGGCUGCUGGUGAAGACGGAUUUGCUAGGGCUGUCGUUCGAAGUGUAGAACAUACCCAACAUCUUUGGGGCUGUUUGCUCGCUCUCCGGAUCCUCAACAGGCCGGAAAACCUUCAGCUGUUCCGGUGGGGGCCGGGCCUGAGCGCCCUGGAGAUGGCUGCGAUCACUGCUCACAUCAAAGCCACCCUCAGCCCCGGGAGGCAUCCCCUCCUGGCCCCAUUCGCCCUCCUGCUUGGUGAGGUCACAUGAGCUGCCGGUGCCGGUGGAGUGCAUCUUUGUUGCUGGAAUGAAAAAUCCACCGGUGGUAACUGUUCGAUUGAAAUUUCCCUUGGUUUCUUUUCCUAGUAAAAAGGAACAAGUGUAUGGUCAGCAGCCGGGGCACACAUACAAUAGCAGGCCUUCCAGUAAGGGCAGGCACACGACAUUUGAAUACUAGAGAGGCACAGCAUUCUAACAGGGGCAUAACCGCCCAGAUAAAGACAGGUAACAUCUGGAUGACAAAAGAGAAAGCACUUCCUCAUAUGCACAGAAUUUCAGCAUGAUGCUUUGGUAGGUUCAUUUGCUGUUGUGCCAUACAGAUCACUUUUAAACUUUGCAGGUAGAGCAGUUUUCAAAAAAAGAUUACUGCUAAAGUUGCUAAACAGAGCCAUCAUCUACUAGGCAUUAAAUGUAGACCAUGAAAAAAUAAAGAGACAGAUGGGAGGCGGUAGGAUGAUGUUUGCUCAAAAUGAAGAAGACAAAAAGGAAAAAUAAACAGAAUCUUGUCUUAUUUUAGAACUUUAAAACUUUUUGUUUUAAGUUUUCUCUGGCAGAUGGACCCAGACAGGGGGGUUUGAUUUCCCAGCAAGGAAACAAAUGCUAUUAACAACUAGACCUUCCCCACCUUUUCUCAGGCUUCUUCCUGUUGAUUCAGAGGAUGAGAAACUAGAAAUGUAAAUUAACUAACUGUUAGAAAGCACAGUUGUGAGGAGUGAAUUUUUUUUUUUUUUUUUGAGAUGGAGUACAGCUCUGUCGCCCAGGCUGGAGUGCAGUGUCGUGAUCUCGGCUCACUGCAACCUCCACCUCCCGGGUUGAAGUGAUUCUCCUGCCUCAACCUCCUGAGUAGCUGGGAUUACAGGCACCUGCCACCGCGCCCGGCUAAUUUUUGUAUUUUUAGUAGAGAGGAGAUCUCACCAUGUUGGCCAGGCUGGUCUUGAACUCCUGACCUCAGGUGAUCUGCCUGCCUCGGCCUCCCAAAGUGCUGGGAUGACAGGCAUGAGCCACUAUGCCCAGACCAAGUUCUUGACUUAGAAAUAAAGGCAAGGAAGAGAAAAGCCUACGUGGGAAGUAAAUAAGCUUGGAGAUGAUACGCGAGUUGCCAGGAAUCUAGAAAAUAAUUUCUAACUUGGUACUAAGCACUAAACUGGGCAUCUUACAUAACUGUAUGCUUAAAAUUCUUAUGACCACCCUGUAAGGAAGUGUAAUGAUCUUUAACACAUGAGGACAUCGAGACUCAGCAGUUAGAUGACCUAAUACUCACAUGCCAUGUAUAUAAAAACCUAUAUGUUGAAAUAUUAACUCCUGCAAAACUGGGCAAUAACUGCCAAGAAGUUUCCAAACCAAAGCAAAUAGAUGAAUAUAAAAGUAAGAAAAUGCUGAAAGUAUCGAGUUAACUUAAGAAGAUCUCACUGAGUGUUAUACAGGUUUAGAAUUAUUAUUAUUUUUUUUUUGAGACAGGCUGGAGUGCAGUGGCGCAAUCUCAGCUCACUGCAAUCUCUGCCUCCUGGGUUCAAACGAUUCUCGUGCCUCAGCCUCUGCCUCCUGGGUUUAAGUGAUUCUUGUGCCUCGGCUUCCUGAGUAGCUGGAAUUAUAGGCAUGCACCACCACGCCUGGCUAAUUUCUUGUAUUUUUUUUAGUACAGAGAGGAUUUCACCAUGUUGGCCAGGCUGGUCUCGAACUCCUGGCCUCAAGUGAUCCACCUGCCUCAGCCUCCCAAAGUGCUGGGAUUACAGGCAUGAGCCACCACACCCGGCCCGGGUUUAGAAUUAUUUUUAAAAUGUUGUUCUAAAGAUUUUCUGUAUUGUUUUGGUCUGACCCAUUUUUGAAAGAGAAAAAUGUCUUGUAUUAAAGGGGCUGGAAAGUCAUGGGAUAAGUAUAGGGGAGUUUUAACAGUCUGUUGCCAGACAAGUCCUUUGCCUUGUAAUUUGUAAUGGUGCUUGUUGGUUACUUAACAGAAAUAGAAGAGAGAGAUACAGGCAAGUCAGCCCUGAAGGAUACAGCUGUGAGAACAAAUGUUAUGUGUUAUUUUGGUGGUCGGUGUUACCUCAUGUGCAACUGUAUACACGUCUACUCCAACAAAGGAUAUUGUGGUUUGCACAUGGCUGAUACAUAGCUGGUGCCUAAUUAAUGUUUAAUGAUACAUAAUAAAUGAAUGAAUAAAUAGAUACAUGAAUGAACCUACCAACUGAAAAUCAUGACUUGACACAAAAACUAGGAAGCGAAAGCAUAUGGAAACAGCCAAGUUCAAGAUACAUAGGCCUCUAGGCAUAAAACCAUAGGGCAUAAACCAAUGCUUGGCUCUUUCUUUCUGCCCAAAGGGGAAGACUCUUCUGCCUUAGGUUUCAGGUGUUGACCUUUUACCUGGUUCAGGUUUGAAUGAAAAGUAGCCAUGGACUUCAGCUGUGGCUAGAGGAAGGAUGGGCAAAGAGGAUGGCUCUUUAGGCCUAGCCCUGGAGUAAGGUAGGGGAGGUUAUGGGGCUAUGUGAACCCCUUGAGUUAGGGUAGGGUCAGUGAGGGAUUUGGGACUAGGUAGUUGUGUGUGACUGUGACUAUAGAGAAGCAGGCAUGACAGCUUAUAAAGGCAAGUGAGCUCCAGCCUCCUAGUUGUAAUCUCCAACUCAGAAACUACUUGUAAAAUCUUACCUUCCACAGGCACUGAACAUAGUGAGUCCAUGCUUUUAGCUGGUCGGAUAGUAGCCUUUUCCACUAAAGACAAAAGAAAAAAUAUCCUUGAUGAAUGCAUAUUAACAGAAAGCAUUCAGAAAAAUAGGUCAGGCUGUUUAAGUACCCAAGACAAAAUUCUUUAGGAAAGUUUUUCAAGUAUAAUUGAUCCCCUUGGAAACAUUCCUCUACUCCACCCUAGAUGUUCCUACUUUCUUAAUGCGACAGACCUAAUAAACUCAGGGCAGUUAUAGAUCAAAGUUUUAUUAAUAUUUUACAAUAAAGGUAAAUUGCAAUUUUGUCAAAUAGCUCAUAGCAAAUGAGGACUCCUGAGCUCAAUUUUACUUUACAAAAAGUAUUCAAGGAUGAAUCCAGGGGUAGAAUCCAUGAGGCUCCAGGGCAUUCUUCGUAUUCAGCAGGCCAGAGACCAGAGAGCUGAGACCACAUCUCAGCUACUGCAAAUUUGGUACAGCAGGUGAGAGGGCCCAAGGGAAUUGGAGUUAGGUUUCUGCUGGAUGCAGCUCUGUUCCUUGAGGCCUGCAGGCUGGGUGCUCCCCAGUGAUCUCACCCAUUAGCUUCACCCUGAACAGAUUCCAGUAAAACCUUUUUUGCACACUUACUCUGUGACUGGGUAUGCACCAUGCAUCUUUGUAAGCCACCUUAGCAGCUUUUUGGAAGAGUGUGGUUUAAAUGAGUAAAAAUUUAUUCCAGGCAUAGCAUUACAUAGAUGCAUUCACAAACACCAUCUCUUUUCAGGGAACAGAACUGGCUGAAAGGUAGUUCCUUCUAGGUCGAGCUUGUCAGGAGGGGAAAGAGGGCACUUGGAAGCAGGAGGCCCAGGACUAGUAGCCCUUAAGGUAACUCUGAAUUCAGAAACAUCUGGGUUUGAAUUCCAGCUCUGCCGCUUUUGGGCUGUGUGACCUCAGACAAGCAGCUAAACAUUUUUUUAAAUUUAUUUUUAUUUAUUUAUUUUUUUAAGACAGGGUCUUAUUCUGUUGCCCAGGCUGGAGUGUGGUAGAGUGAUCAUAAGCUCACUACAGCCUCAACCUCCUGGGUUCAAGCAAUCUUCCUGCCCUAGCUUCUGGAGUAGCUAGGACUAUAGGCACACACCAACAAACCUGGCUAAUUUAAAAAAAUUUUUUAGAAACAGGGUCUCACUGUGUUGCCCAGGCUGGUCUCAAACUCCUAGACUCAAGCAAUCCUUCUGCCUUGGCCUCCCAAAGUGACAGCUAAACUAAACUCCAGUUUUAUCAUGUGUAAAAUGAGAAAAAAUAGAGUUGUUGUGAGGAUUAAAUGGGUAAUGGCUAUAAGGUAAUUAUAUUGUACUAAUCUGCAAUAGAGUAAGUACCCAUUAAAAAGUAAUAAUUAUUGAUUGUUGUUGCUGCUAUUCAGGAUGGAUCAGGGCUCAGCAACAAAAGGGAAGACAGGAGAAGGUUCUAUGAGAAGCAGUUAGAGUUGGCUUUAACCAAAAUUGAGCUGUAACUCAAGCUUGUUUUUGUCUCUUGUUUAAAGUUCCCCUGUUCUUCCUCCUUGAUCCAAACCUGCUCCUUCUGGGAGGUUCUGAAUUAGCCCCUUGGUCUCCCAGCUUGAGGCUUCUCUCUUUCUGGGGCCCACUGUGGGACGCCCAGCCACCUCCAUGCAAAUCCUUUGCAAAGGCAGAGAUUGCCUUUCACCUCCUCACUUCCAAUGUGCCCCAGAAUUCUUAUCCUUUGAAGAUCUGCUAUUUCCACAAAUCUAUAAAUUGAUUUACUGCCCUGAAACUACCUGGUCAGCAUCCCUUUGUUUGUGUAUUCUAGGACAUGCACUGCCUUUGUUUUCCAGGAGCUGUAUUUCUGGAAUUUCUCUGGUUUCCACAUGUCAACCUUGAUAGGCAGUGACCAGGCGCCCCUGACUGUGUCACAGAGGCCGGGUAGCAGCUCUGUCUGUAGGUCCAUCGGUGUCCACCUUUGGUGUUGAAGCCUCUUUCUCAUGAUGCAGUUCCUUGUGGCCUUGCGGAGCACAGCAGCACAUCAGAGAUGUGGCUUGGUGGACAGUCCCCAAGCAUUCCCUGCCCUCCUUUCUGGAGAUUAACUAAGAGCUCAGGCUCCUGUGGCCUAUGACUAUAUUUAUAUUACAUGUUUCUGUCUGGGACCUUGGCCUGGCCUCACAGAGGUGUACUCCCCAGUUUUCUGGCAGCCUUUGUGUCCUUGAGUCCUCCUCUCUUAGCUGCGUUACUCAGAGGUGAGCCUGGACCUGCUAUAGCUGUAUGGCUUUGAGAUUUCUCUGCUCACAGUUCAUUUUGGAGGGUUCUCUGAACUCUUCUUUCUCUUUAAUAAUGUACAAAAAACUUAAAUGGAAUCAAUUAAAAUACACAUAUCUGGAAGGCUCUAAA